UGUAAUAAGAAUUAAUAAUAGUACACAUUUAUUUAUUCACAAGAAUCGAGGAUAAUGACAAUUAAUUGGAUGGAGGUAAAACGAGAAAAUCAAGAUCAGACUUUGACAUUGGCUAAUGAGGAAAGACUGGUUCUUCAAUAGUAAGCGAGACCAAGAAAGAAUCGUCAUAUCUUUACUGAAUACCACAUUGGGUUCGAUAUGGAUUAUGGGAGUACAAAAGUAAAGCGACAAUUCGUUUCAUACCACCUCCCAUCAAUUUCAGUGAUGGCUGCGGGAGCAGAUAAGGCUGCAUUGAUAACCAAUAUCAUCUAAUUUGAUUUUACAACUAUCAUAAAUAUGUCGUGUGUAGUGAGCACUUUUGUAUAACAAAUAGUCGCAAAGAAUAAACUCGACUUUGGUUUUGAAGAAAUUUGCAUGCCAACACAAAAAAUAUCAUUUGCAAUCUCGCAAUUCAAUUUGCGAAAACAAAAAUGACUUUGUUUGCAUAACCUCCAGCCCGGGACUAUCUCCCACCACCAAUAUACCCUCACAGACGCAACUUACGAGAAAAAUUCCGCCGGUUUUUCGUUGUCCAAAACAAUUUAUAAUUUCUGUAAAUUAACUUGACCUGAACUUAUCGUUUUAAACGUCGGUGGGGGAAAAGGGACGAAGUGAUUUUGGUUGGAUAAAGUACUAUUAGAGUUCACUCCUCAGUACUCACUACUCGCAUAAUGGCUACCACAUCGCAAAAACAUCGCAAUUUCGUCCUGGAAUCUAUGGCUGAAAAAUUGGUGACAGAUAUUGCAGGGAUUGGCGAAGUUUACGGGAGGCGCCUCAGUUCUCAGGGAUACGACAAGGCUUCCGUUGUACUGGGCCAAUUUUUGCUGCUUAAGAGAGAUCAAGAAUUAUUCAUCGACUGGCUGAAACUCACUGCAGGAAUGAGUACAACGCAUGCUACGAGUUGUCAUCAAUGUAUGAGCGAUUGGUGUAACGCUUUCUUGUAAGAGAUGCGUCAUGGUCAUGGUCAACAAAGUCAUUAUUAGGGAUUAAAUGUUAAUAUGCAGCCAAACGUAAAAAUUUAAGAGUGAUAUGAAAAUGUUGAUUAAUUGCUCCCACUUCGUCCAUAUGUAUCAAUCAGUCGUAAUCUGUAUAUAUAUUUUUACUUUUUGAUAUUCAAUUGCAUGAAUUGUGAUGAGACUGGUAUUUUAACUUUUUCUCGAUACUUAUUCUUUAUACUUUUAUAAUACCGAUGUCGUGUGAAUAAUAAUAAUAAAAUGCUCUGUAUAUAAUAA